rnacentral:lncRNA from 1 species
UCCCAAUUCGCCCUCGAAAAAUAAAUUUAUUUCCAGCAGUGUCCCCAUUUCGCCGCUAAUUAGCAAUGGCUCCACCGAGCUCGGCGUCUCCGGUGGCGUUAUCGAGGCCGGUAGCUCAAAGGAAGGUCCGUCCUUCAGCUGACUCAUUGGAGAGCUACAGCCGGGGACGGCGUCCGCGACCGAGGUUAUCGGUAUCUCCGCCACCGAAGAAAUUCAGGUCGAUAGAAGAGAUCAUGAGAGUGGCGAAGCGCGUGGAGUUGCCGCCGGACGACGACAGCGAAGACGAUGGAAACGACGGCGAGGAUGUUGUGUGCGAGCAAUGUGGCUCAGGGGAAAGGCCGGAGGAGCUGUUA